CCUACGGGAGGCAGCAGUGAGGAAUAUUGGUCAAUGGCCGAGAGGCUGAACCAGCCAAGUCGCGUGAGGGAAGACGGCCCUACGGGUUGUAAACCUCUUUUGUCGGGGAGCAAAGCGAACCACGUGUGGUUCAUUGAGAGUACCCGAAGAAAAAGCAUCGGCUAACUCCGUGCCAGCAGCCGCGGUAAUACGGAGGAUGCGAGCGUUAUCCGGAUUUAUUGGGUUUAAAGGGUGCGCAGGCGGAGGUGCAAGUCAGCGGUCAAAUUGCGGGGCUCAACCCCGUACUGCCGUUGAAACUGCAGCCCUUGAGUGCGCGAGAAGUAUGCGGAAUGCGUGGUGUAGCGGUGAAAUGCAUAGAUAUUACACAGAACACCGAUUGCGAAGGCAGCUUGCUAGGCCGGAUCUGACACUGAUGCACGAAAGCGUGGGGAUCGAACAGGAUUAGAUACCCGGGUAGUC
rnacentral:rRNA from 1 species